CAGUCGCCGCGGGAAUACGAAGGGGGCUAGCGUUGCUCGGAAUGACUGGGCGUAAAGGGUGCGUAGGUGGUCCUUCAAGUCGGUGGUUAAAGGCUACGGCUCAACCGUAGUAAGCCGCCGAAACUGGAGGACUUGAGUGCAGGAGAGGAAAGUGGAAUUCCCAGUGUAGCGGUGAAAUGCGUAGAUAUUGGGAGGAACACCAGUAGCGAAGGCGGCUUUCUGGACUGCAACUGACACUGAGGCACGAAAGCGUGGGUAGCAAACAGGAUUAGAUACCCCAGUAGUCCCUGUCUCUUAUACA
rnacentral:rRNA from 1 species